rnacentral:rRNA from 1 species
GCAACGCGAAGAACCUUACCAGGUCUUGACAUCCCGAUGCUAUUUCUAGAGAUAGAAAGUUACUUCGGUACAUCGGUGACAGGUGGUGCAUGGUUGUCGUCAGCUCGUGUCGUGAGAUGUUGGGUUAAGUCCCGCAACGAGCGCAACCCCUAUUGUUAGUUGCCAUCAUUCAGUUGGGCACUCUAGCGAGACUGCCGGUAAUAAACCGGAGGAAGGUGGGGAUGACGUCAAAUCAUCAUGCCCCUUAUGACCUGGGCUACACACGUGCUACAAUGGUUGGUACAACGAGUUGCGAGUCGGUGACGGCGAGCUAAUCUCUUAAAGCCAAUCUCAGUUCGGAUUGUAGGCUGCAACUCGCCUACAUGAAGUCGGAAUCGCUAGUAAUCGCGGAUCAGCACGCCGCGGUGAAUACGUUCCCGGGCCUU